rnacentral:rRNA from 1 species
UACGUAGGGCGCAAGCGUUAUCCGGAAUUAUUGGGCGUAAAGAGCUCGUAGGCGGUUUGUCGCGUCUGCCGUGAAAGCCCGGGGCUCAACUCCGGAUCUGCGGUGGGUACGGGCAGACUAGAGUGCAGUAGGGGAGACUGGAAUUCCUGGUGUAGCGGUGAAAUGCGCAGAUAUCAGGAGGAACACCGAUGGCGAAGGCAGGUCUCUGGGCUGUAACUGACGCUGAGGAGCGAAAGCAUGGGGAGCGAACAGG